CGCACCUUGCACCUUUUGGUAUUCCGAAAGGUAUGCCUGUUUGAGUGUCAUGAAAUCUCACUCCCCUCGGGUUUUACGACCUGGGUGGGAUGUGGACUUGGGCGUCUGUCUGUUACAAGACUCGCCUUAAAUGGAUUAGUGGGAAGAUCACCAACGGUUUAGACGUAAUAAGUUUCGUCUCUGCCAGGUGUGACGUCCGCUCAUAACCCCCAAUACUUUAUGACUCUGACCUCAAAUCAGGUAGGGCUACCCGCUGAACUUAA
rnacentral:misc_RNA from 1 species